AAACAUUGAUGUACAUAAGUUAAUCUUUAAAUUUAGAGAUUCUCUAUUUCUCGACACCAACAAAACAUUGAUAUAUGUUUCGUAAAUAUAUAACUCAGUUGAUAGGUGCAACGAUAUUUACAUGUGUGAAUUUAGCUAUUAGUCUACUUGAUAAAAAAAAUAGAUAGGUGUUUCAGAAUCAUCCCAAAAUUAAUUAAACUAACGUAUGAAAUGAUCCCAAAGCCUAAUGCAUCACAUAUUCAUAAGCCUAAUGUGCACUCGCGUCACUACGGAGUACACAUUUGUCCUCACUUCAUCACCCUCAGAUUGUCAUCAUAUGGUCACUCGCGAUUCUUGACGCCUAACAGUUCAGAGAACCCCUCAUUAAGGAACUCCUCUAUAAAAAUUCAUCAGCCUCUGGUGCAAGGAACAUAACUCAUUUUCAUCUAAAAAACCUCUUACUCCCUCAAAUUCUUAGGGACUUUGAGUGUCAUAGUAUUUAUAGGUACACUACACUAGGAGCUACACCGCCAUACUCUUUCGUUGCAAUUUGACUUCAGUCGUCAUUGACGUUCUACUUCGUAUCAUUGGCUCCAUCAGUUGGAAUUAUUCCCUAUUGUCUCAAACAAUAAAUCUUUGAUCACAUGAAAUAAACGACGCGACUCUCUCUCAUCUCUCCCUCUCAACCCUCUCUUGUAUUCCACGCGACACUUGUCUCUCCCUCAAUCCAUUUCUCCACGACCUCCACACGACGUCAAUUUCUCACUCAUACUCUCUCUUCUCGCAUCAAGCAUCUCUAUUGCGUCUGCCCAUCUCUCACCGCCUCUGAAUCUCGGACUAUCUCAAUAUGCUUCUUAUAUUUUUUUAUAGUCUUACUUAGUUACUCUUUUCCUCUUCUACUAUUUGUUAAUUGUAAUAGUUUUAGUUUAGGAUUGUGAACUAUUAAUAAUGUGUGAUUGUAUUUGUGACUUUGUGAAUUGUGAACGAUUUUAGUGUGGGAAUUGAAAUUGUGAACUUUAGUGUGUGAAUUGUGACUUUGUGAUUGUGAACUGUGAACUAUUUUUUUAUUAGUGUAGUGUGGAUGUGAGAUUGUGAAUUUGAAAAC
rnacentral:lncRNA from 1 species